UGUUCACCCGGGCAGGGAUUCGAACCCUAAGACCCGAAGGUACUGCUACCUAAUGCUCUACCAACGAAGCACCCGGGCUUGUUUACAAACUACCCUUUUUCUUGUAUAUAAACCAACGAGUGAUUCGAAAACGUAGCGCAACGGUAUUAUCGCAAUAAUAAACAGAUUAUUGCAAUAUUAUUAAUUUAUGCAUUAUUCGAAUUGAUCGAUGACGUGAUGGAUCGUUAUUAUUCGUAGUGUUGAACA